UACGUAGGGUGCAAGCGUUGUCCGGAAUUAUUGGGCGUAAAGGGCGCGUAGGCGGCAAUUCAAGUCAGCUGUGAAAUCUCUGGGCUUAACCCAGAACGGCCAGCUGAUACUGCUUUGCUAGAGUGCAGAAGGGGCAAUCGGAAUUCUUGGUGUAGCGGUGAAAUGCGUAGAUAUCAAGAGGAACACCUGAGGUGAAGACGGGUUGCUGGGCUGACACUGACGCUGAGGCGCGAAAGCCAGGGGAGCAAACGGG
rnacentral:rRNA from 1 species